AGGCUGAAACUCGCCUACAUGAAGCUGGAGUUACUAGUAAUCGCAGAUCAGAAUGCUGCGGUGAAUGCGUUCCCGGGUCUUGUACACACCGCCCGUCACACCACGGAAGUUGGGGGCGCCCGAAGCCACUUAGCUAACCCUUUUGGGAAGCGAGUGUCGAAGGUGAAAUCAAUAACUGGGGUGAAGUCGUAACAAGGUAAC
rnacentral:rRNA from 1 species